UGGGGAAUAUUGCACAAUGGGGGAAACCCUGAUGCAGCGACGCCGCGUGAACGAAGAAGGUAUUCGUAUCGUAAAGUUCUGUCCUAUGGGAAGAUAAUGACAGUACCAAAGAAGAAAGCUCCGGCUAAAUACGUGCCAGCAGCCGCGGUAAUACGUAUGGAGCGAGCGUUGUCCGGAAUUAUUGGGCGUAAAGGGUACGCAGGCGGUUUAAUAAGUCGAAUGUUAAAGAUCGGGGCUCAACCCCGCAAAGCAUUGGAAACUGAUAAACUUGAGUAGUGGAGAGGAAAGUGGAAUUCCUAGUGUAGUGGUGAAAUACGUAGAUAUUAGGAGGAAUACCAGUAGCGAAGGCGACUUUCUGGACACAAACUGACGCUGAGGUACGAAAGCGUGGGGAGCAAACAGG
rnacentral:rRNA from 1 species